UAUCCUGAUCAGGUAGAUGGGAUUAUAAGUUGAAUACAAAUUUAAUUCAUGGCACUUUUUCACUUACCAAACGAAUGUAUGAGUUCGUUGACAAAAUUGAAAUUAUUGAGAUUCUCAAUGAUUAUAAACACAGUAUAUUAAAACUUGCAGCACCCGGACAUUACGAUGGAUGAACAACUUUGUUUACGUUGUGCACCUAUCCAUUAUUCAUGGUGGUUUACAUUUUGUGUGGUAAACAGUACCACACGCACUAAACAUUGGAUUUAUCAAUAUUGCAUUGAUGUACAUUAUUCCUAAUCUAAAGUAUGGCUCGUUUUCGCAAGCCUUUGGCGGAUUUAAUGGGGGCGCAGCCGGCGCCCCCCCCCCCCUUCCCCUAAAAUUUUUAAAUAUAAAGUAAAUCGUGGUAUCUUGUUUAGAAAAAUUUACUAAAUGAUAAAAGAAGCAAUAGUUUCUUCCACUCCCGGAGAAAUAAAUGACAAAAUCUUUUGAUUUCUUGAAUUAUUUUAUUGCCAAAACUUAAUUUUUUCGAAAAACCCUUAAAAUUUGCUUCAUUUUAUUAAUUUCACCUUAUAAAAAAUGAUAGAAAAUAGUACAAAUGACUAAAUAGGAGACAUAUUUCAAGCCCUAUAAAAGCUGUAAAAUCCAGAAGUUUCCAGGGUUUGGCCUAUUGGGUCCCCACCAAGGCUUCGCCUCAAGGCAGCCCACCCCCUGCCUCAUAAAUUGGCGCUCCCGUAACUGCAAUUCCUGGAUCCGCUCCUGCAAGCUGCCCGUCAAAAAUAAAUUCAGGCGAAAAUUGACAUUUUAACUGAUCAUAUGGCUGUUAUCCGUCGCUACCUUAAUUAUAAUCACUAAGGACAAUGCUCUCACAGUCCUAAAUGAUAAAUGUCUCCAAUCUCUCAAGAAAUAUUACUUUUCUCAAAGUGUAAAAGUAAUUUGAAGAUCAAGUGUGGCUUGCACCUGACAUGGAAGGCGAAGAUAACGAAUACUGAUCAAUUUCAUAAUGGGGUUUAUCUGAUAUGGAUAAACAGGGUUAUUUCGUGCAGCUUUAUCUUGAUUAAUUCGAAAUGCAUCGGGUUCGUCGCACGAUAAUUCUAUUUUUAUUUCUGUGCGCAUGCCAUAGAUUACUCCUUUUCUUUCGUCAUUCGAACAGAGCAGACGUUAAUUUUUUUUUACACCCACGCACCCACCCACCCUCUUCCCUCAAUUUUCAUGUCCCUUAGUAUCUCUGUCAAUUUUGUAAUGAUGUGUGUUCUUCGAUUGUCGUUUCCGGUUUGUUAAUUUCUCAUUUCAGCGUCAUGGCAUCGAUCAAUGCAGGCUGAGGUUCAUCGACUGUGGAUGUGCAUUGCAGACUUCCAAAAAUUCCUGUCCAGAGUAGUUAUUGACUGUUAGAUAUAAUUUUGCAUAUAAUGCUGUCUCCGGGGGUACUGUUUUUUUUUUUCAGGCUCCCUUUGGUCAAGAUGGUAUUUCUAUUGCUUAAUAUCUAUAUUUAUUUAUCUUAUGCUGCCAUAUUAUCAUCAUCGGCGCAUACAUUGUAUUAUAAUUGUACUUUCUCCAAUGUGUCAUUAAAUGGCCAUGACAAGCACGCCAACUGGAGAUUGUGUUUGACUGGAUGGUAUCUAGAAACAAAGUUUCCGCUUUUUGGAGGGCUUUCUGGUCAAGUUGGUGUCUGUUGUCCAUGUGAAGGCAGUAACGAAAUAGCUCUAGUUUUCCAGGUCAACUAUAUGUGAAUGUAGUUAUUUUUUUUAAAUUGUUAUGAAAAAGGUCGAGGUACAAUAGUAUAUGUUAUUUAUGUGGACAAAAUAAUCCAUGAGAUAAAAAGUGAUGGGGGCGAUAGUUUUUCUGAAGAAUUUUUAUUGCAUCUAUGUUAUGUCAAGUUAAAAGAAUUAAAUGCGAUUGAAGUUUAAAAACAACGAGUUCAUAAGUUUUUAUGCAAUGUUUUUUCUACUGCCGAUAUUGAAUCAAUUGUAUGAGGACCCAAAUUCAUAGAUUACCGUGACCUUCACAAUGCGAGUAGGUCAAAGAAUCCUCAUAGCCAGUAAAUAGGUGUAUAGAUUAUCAUCCUAGCGCAGAUCCUAGCACAGAAUCGAUCACACAGCAGAGGUACAUAUAUUUUGGCGAAAAUAAUCGGCUUGUCAUCUUUUGAUAUGGGAAAAAAAUACACUGAGGGAAUAAAAGUCCACUUUGUUCCUGAGAGUGUUCAUCAGAAAAAUCUUAUAACUGAAGAAUGACACUUGAAGUACAUGUUAGAUCCUAUCUUGAAACUGUCCGAAAAGUCAUGUACUUGGUCUCUUAUGAAUAUAAAAUAUGUAUGCUUUUAUUCAAACAUUUGAUUUUUGAAAUUUAUUUAGAAAGAUUAAAGAUUAUGAAAAGGAAAAAAAAUGUGAACAUUACAUAUAUGUAUAAAUCCGUUGUCUUAAGCUACAUACUGAGCUCUAUAUCGGGAUUAUUGAAUUUGUGACAGUUUGUACAUUACAUAUUUUGACACCACCCUUAGAAUAUUAUGCAAUAACUCAGUGUUUAUAUAAUUAUUUAGUAUGAAGGAAAAGUAUGGAACUACAAGUAGAAAACUUAAUAUCCAUUUCUUAUUUAAUGCCAUUUUCCUUGAAAAUUGGCGAAAAAUCGUCCUUUGACAUGCUCCCCUGGGAAACAUUGUCGAUGACCCAUACUUUUUUCUUACAAAUAGUAAGCUUAUUGUCUUUUUAAAAUCAUUCUUCUUUUUUUAAUUUUAACUUUUAUAUAGCACAUUGGAAAUUUCCCUAUAUUUCCUUUGCACUUACGACUACUUUAAAGCCAACUUUUGAAACGCCCCCCGCCGCUGAAAAUCAAAUAUGAUUUUCAUUUGGUUUUUUCUUAUUGAUUUGAACUCAUUAAUGCAUGUUUUACCUUAUAUCAAACUUUGAAUAAAAUGUCUAUUGUAGAAACGAAUUAGGUCCGUCACCCUUAAGUAAAAUAGCACUGGUCGAAAUCGUUUCAUAUCGCCGUUAUGUCUCAGGUUUCGUAACUUCUGCUAUGUACUCAUUGGCUAUCAUAAAAGGUAUAAUUUAUAUUCUGUAUCUACAUUAAUCACGAUAAAAUGAAUUGACAUAUACACAGAGAUCUGAUGGGUAUUUUUCCAAAAUGUACGUUCAACAGGAGAGUUUCAUACGUGAGCAAACGAAGAUAAUCUAAAUGCAUAGACUUUACUUAUUCAAAUUUUAUUCUUUUCAUUUGAAAAAUUGCAGUUUAUUGCCGAAUUUAAUUAGAUGUACCAUGUUGCAUUGUGAUAAAAAUUCACAUAUAAGAUAGGCCUAUAUCUGAUAUGACCUGCUCAAAUGCAUUAAUGUGAAGAAUUAUGCACAUUGAAAUAUUAAGUUUUUUCAGUAUCUAUAUUUCUUGAAGUUUACAAAUCUUCGUCAUUUGUGGAAAUUACUUGUUAAGAUAUCUGUGUGACAUUGAGAUAUCCGUGGGACAUGUUGGUGUUCUGAAAAUACUCUGUAUUUGGUUAAGACAACAACUUUGAUUACUUAGAUUUGAAUUCUAAACUAUUUUUCCUCCUAAAAAUAUUCUUUCUUUCCACAAAGUACUAUAAGGCGAAACUAUUGAUACGAUUGAAGAGGUAUGCAUUCUGGGUUUUGAGUGUGAAUACAUGCACCAUUCAUUCUUAUCAGUCACGUUUAUCCAUAUUAAUCUUCUCCAGAACACCCCAACAAUGGUACUUCUCAUCCACAGCGUCUUUAUUUCAGUAUUGCAUUGUUAUACCCUCGUAUUUGUAUUUCUCUUUAGAUUCCAGAUUCUUGAAUGAUUAACUCCCAGGUGAAGGCUGAAUGCUGAGAAAUUUGUUAUGUAAAUGGAAAUGAUGUUUUGAUUCAAACGUAUUACAUUCUCUAUAUAAUGGAUUUGAAACACUUUGGAUGUCAAAUUUCUUGUGUAUUUAGAAUUAUACAUAUUGCAAAAGCAGUAUUUAUUACGUUAGUUUAUAUGAAAUUUGGAUGUUGUCUAAAGUUGAUCAUGAUAUAAAUAAACAAAGAUUUUUUUAAAUAAAUUGCCUACGAGA